rnacentral:misc_RNA from 1 species
AACCUAGCACACCUGCGGUGUGUACCUGCGGAAGGAUCAUUACCGAGUUUACAACUCCCAAACCCAUGUGAACAUACCUAUCGUUGCUUCGGCGGAUCGCCCCGGGCGCCUUGCGUGCCCCGGAUCCAGGCGGCCGCCGGGGGACCUUAACUCUUGUUUUUACUGAGAAUCUUCUGAGUCGUUUUUACAAAUAAAUAAAAACUUUCAACAACGGAUCU